AACCCAUUGUGAGGGCACAGUCUCAAUAAGUCCUUAUACCUCUCUCAUACAUCAUAUAAUGUUUCUAAAUCGAUUUGCAUGAAGAAAGAGAUAUCAAUCCUCAACUU
rfam:Gossypium raimondii chromosome 11, whole genome shotgun sequence.